CCUACGGGUGGCAGCAGUGAGGAAUAUUGGUCAAUGGACGCGAGCCUGAACCAGCCAAGUAGCGUGAAGGAUGACUGCCCUAUGGGUUGUAAACUUCUUUUAUAAAGGGAUAAAGUGAGGCACGUGUGCCUUUUUGUAUGUAUUUUAUGAAUAAGGAUCGGCUAACUCCGUGCCAGCAGCCGCGGUAAUACGGAGGAUCCGAGCGUUAUCCGGAUUUAUUGGGUUUAAAGGGUGCGUAGAUGGGUUGUUAAGUCAGUUGUGAAAGUUUGCGGCUCAACCGUAAAAUUGCAAUUGAUACUGGUAGUCUUGAGUACAGUUGAGGUAGGCGGAAUUCGUGGUGUAGCGGUGAAAUGCUUAGAUAUCACGAAGAACCCCGAUUGCGAAGGCAGCUUACUAAACUGUCACUGACAUUGAUGCUCGAAAGUGUGGGUAUCAAACAGGAUUAGAUACCCUAGUAGUC
rnacentral:rRNA from 1 species